rnacentral:rRNA from 1 species
GUAGUUAGCCGGGGCUUCCUCCUUGACUACCGUCACUUUCUUCGUUGCCAAGGACAGAGGUUUACAACCCGAAAGCCUUCUUCCCUCACGCGGCGUUGCUGGGUCAGGCUUGCGCCCAUUGCCCAAUAUUCCCCACUGCUGCCUCCCGCAGGAGUCUGGACCGUAUCUCAGUUCCAGUGUGGCCGAUCAGCCUCUCAGCUCGGCUACCCAUCGUCGACUUGGUGGGCUGUUACUCCGCCAACUAUCUAAUGGGACGCGAACCCCUCUUAUACCGGAUUGCUCCUUUGACCUCAUCCCGAUGCCGGGUCGUGGUCUUAUGCGGUAUUAGCAACCGUUUCCGGUUGUUAUCCCCCUGUACAAGGCAGGUUGUUCACGCGUUACUCACCCGUUCGCCACUAAGUUAUCAACCGAAAUCAAUAACUCCGUUCGACUUGCAUGUGUUAAGGCACGCCGCCAGCGUUCGUCCUGAGCACGANACGACCUACGA